CUUAGAGCCCCAAGCAGGCCACCUCCCACGAGAAGGCUCAGUCUCUUGUCGGUUUGGCCUUUCACUCACAUCGACCUGAACUUUCUGGACCUGAGGACCUCUCAGGCCCUAGGAGUGCUGUGUGUGUGUGUGCAUGGCCUUGGCCAGCCGUCCCUGGGGAGGUCACACCUACGGGACACCUUGGCAGUGCAGGAGGAUGUUCCUGGGGACUUGACCUGUCUCUCUGCAGCCACACUAUGUCAGUUUUCUGGGACUGUCCUCACUAAGUCCACACACCAGGGAUUUAAACAAGUCAUUUAUUGUCUCACAAUUGUGGAGUUAAGGAGUUGGCAAGGUUGGCUUCUUCUGGAGGGCCUGAGGGACAGACCUCCCCACAGCUCUCCUAGCUCCUGGUGGCUCCCGGCAGCGCUCAGUGCUUCAUGGCUACCUCCUCAGCGCCUGCCUCCCUGGCCAUAGGGUACUCUCCCUGUGUGUCUCUGCUUCUCCAAACACACCUCAGCCAUUGGCUCAAGGCUGUCCCUCAUCCAGUAUGACUUCAUCUUCUUUUUAAAAAACUUUUUAUCUUAAAAUACUGUAAUGAUAUUCUGCAGGAUGUUGCAGAGACAGAACAUAGGAGAGAGGUCUGGAUGACCCCCACAGUUUGCCCUGACUGUUACUUCUUGCAGAGCACAACUCGAAACCAAGAGUCGCACACUGACGCAGGGUGUGUAGGUCUUCGUGGUUUUGUCAUGUGUCACUAUCACUGCAGUUGGGAUGCAGAAUCACCCCUGACCACAGAGACUUCCCUUGUGAUGUCCCCUGUAUGGUCACAUUGCUCUCCUGUCCCCAUCACCCAAAUUCCCCCAUGACCAGCAAUCUGCCCUCCCUGUCCAUAUCUGUCAUUUCAAGACUAUUACAUGAAAGGAAUGUUAUGGUCUGUGACCCUUUGAGACUAGACUUCUUCACUCUGUGUGAUCCCCUUCAGAAUCACCAGUGAGGUUGUGUGCUCUGAAUCCCGUUCCUCAUAGGAUUCCAAGGCAUGACCUGUCAAUUACCUGCUGAGGGACAUGUUAGUCCUGUUUGACCAGUCACUUAUUGAGGGACACCUAUUGAGGACAUGUAGGUUAUUUCAAAUUUGAGGCUAUUCAUAAAUAAAACUGCUAUGAACAAUUAUGUACAGGUUUUUGUGUGGACUUAAGUUUUCAUUUCUUGGGGAUAAAUGCCCAAUGUGAUUGCUGGGUCAUGUGGUGCAUGUAUUUUAUUUAGUUUUUCAAGAAAUGGACAUUCUUGAGUAGCUAUAUCAAUUUUCAUUCCCACAAGCAAUGAAUAAAAAAUCCAGUUUCACCUCAUCUUCAUCAACAUCUUCAUAUGAUCCCACUUUGAUUUGAUGACGUCUGCAAGACCCACCUUCUAAGUCGGGUCACAUCCAUGGGUUCCAAGAACUGGGAGCUGAGAGUGUUCUUCUGAGGGACACAAUUUGAAACUCCAGGACAUCUUCCUGCUUGAGUUGGGGUGGGGCUGGCUUCAGAGCUUUGCCUUCUUAGAAGAGCUUGCUUUGGAGUUGUAGCCAGAUUAGAAGUCCCUUGGUUAUUCAGUUUGGUCCCCAGAGAUGGGUGAACAAGUUUGUGUCAUCUGAAGGGAAUUUGUUGAGUCUUUCCGAACUAAACUCAGAUCUCCAAAGUUUCAAAGAUGUGAUAAUUAUGAAUACUGUCCAGAGACAGAAAGGCAAGGUAUGUCCCUAUCAAGGGUGAGUGUGUGUGUGCGCGCACGCACGUGUACGAGUUUACGGCUCCAGUUCUAAGAAGGGAAAGGAAAGCAUUAUGGAAGCUGGGUUAUGUGUUAAUAGAGUGGGCAGAGUCUGAGCUGCUCUGCACUCCUGCAGCUGGUAGAGGUGCUUCAGGUCUGUGUCGUGCGGGGGCGUGAUUGGCAAUGGUAGCCCAAGGCCACACUGAGGAGGGUGGGGAGAGGACAUUGAUGUUCUUCAUGUCCCUCCCCACUGCCCAAGCAGGCCUUUCCUAAGUGGCUCCCUACAUCUGGAUAAGUAACUUCCAUCCUUUAUCCCCUUGCUGAAGUCCAGUUCCAUUCAUUUUUUUCUUGUCUGUGCUCCUGGUCCCGUGGGUGUAGAAGACCCCAGUGAGAUGGCAUGUUGUCUGACCCCCGUCUGCACAGCACCAUGAACUCUGACAGGCAGAGCAAUACAGGGCUUGAGAGAGCAGAGUUGUGGCUUAGAGAUUUGACCCCCAGGACCUGCUCACAGCUGAGCGGCCCUCCCCUCCCCUCCCCUCUCCCAGCCUCAUCUGUGUAGACUGGGAGUGACUGAUUUUGAAGCCAAGACAUACAGAAAGUGCAUGGUUCCUAAUCCUACAGCUCAGGACCUUCUCAUAAACUCAUAAAGGGGCACACGCCACAGGGGGGAAUGGAACCUACCAACCCCCCAGAGUCCCCACCAGGCACCACACCUGCCUCACCCCAGCCAAGAGUACCCCAGUCCGACUUCUAGUUUUAUCUUACCUGGUCUUGAACUUUAUUUGGAUGGAGCACAGACUGCCUCCCUGGGGUUUGGGUUCUUGGGCUUAUCCUCAUGUUUCAGCCCUCGGUUAUGGCCAUUCUCCUCACCCAGCAGCUCAGUGGUCAACGUACCACGAUUUCAUGACCCAUUUUACUGCUGGUGGACGUUUGUGUUAUUUCCAGUUCUGGGCUUUUAUGAAUGAAGCUGCUGUAAGCAUUUUUGCACAGAUUUUUUUUUUUUUUUUUGUGGAUAGGGACGUGGUCCUUUAAAGAGUGGGAUUGCUGAGUUACAGAAAACUCCACUUUCCAGAACCUGCCCAUCAUUCCCACAAACCCAGCGUGCACUCUCCAGUGUCGUGAGGGUUCAAGUCAGUUGUGGAAAGUGCUCUAGACUGUUCUUAACAGUCAGAAGUUGUCCCUAAAACACAUCUACAAAUGUAAAAAAGGCACAAUCUUUGGUUAAACCCAGGUGCGGGUAUCCCAGUGUGUAAUGGACUUGACAUUACCCUAUUGAUUGUUCAUUCAGGCUGGUCAUGUGGCUUUAUUACUCCAUAUCAUCUUGCGAUGAUUGACCCUCCUUAGGGCUGUAUUCUUUUUUUCCAGUGGUGGGGAUGGAACACAGGACGCUGCGUGUGCUCACCACUGAGCCCACCCUCAGCCUAUACUGCUUUCGUCUUUUGAAACAUUUGCUCUGCUAAGUUUUCAGGGAAGCUUGAAUUGGAUCAAGGGAUGUGGACUGCAGGAACCAUCGUCC
rnacentral:lncRNA from 1 species